UACAGGGGGUGCAAACGUUGCUCGGAAUCAUUGGGCGUAAAGCGCACGUAGGCGGUCUGUUAUGUCGGAUGUGAAAGCCCUUGGCUUAACUGAGGAAGUGCAUCCGAAACUGGCAGGCUAGAGUACUAAAGAGGGUCGCGGAAUUCCCGGUGUAGAGGUGAAAUUCGUAGAUAUCGGGAGGAACACCGGUGGCGAAGGCGGCUUUCUGGUCUGCUCUUGACGCUGAGGCGCGAAAGCUAGGGUAGCAAACGGG
rnacentral:rRNA from 1 species